rnacentral:rRNA from 1 species
GACAGAGGGUGCAAACGUUGUUCGGAAUUACUGGGCGUAAAGCGCGUGUAGGUGGCGUGGCAAGUCGGGUGUGAAAGCCCUGGGCUCAACCCAGGAAGUGCAUUCGAUACUGCCAAGCUAGAGUCCCGGAGAGGAUGGUGGAACUCUCGGUGUAGAGGUGAAAUUCGUAGAUAUCGGGAGGAACACCGGUGGCGAAGGCGGCGACCUGGGUAGAUACUGACGCUGAGGUGCGAAAGCGUGGGGAGCAAACAGG